UUCAGAUAGCAUCAAAGGAACAGCUAGUAAGAGACACAGAGCCAGAAAUCAGGGAAGUAAAAUACACUUGACAUCUACGUUCGGAAAGAAAUUUUAGGAGGCAGAAGCAAAUGGAUCAGAAGCUGCUUAUAUUUUUGCAAGAUUACCAAAGAAACCAUUGGUGGAGAAAGUUCUGUGACCAACUUGUCUGAGUCUAGUAAGAUUGAACGCUCACACACAAGUUUCAUGAAGUGGGUUUGAUACUUACAGAUAAGCAGCAAGGACCAACAGAAGCUGAUGAUCUAUGGUGAACUUUUUCCCAAGGCUCCGGAAAGCUGCCUAAAGUAGAUGGAGUCUUCUCUGUGUGUGCCCCACUGGUCCUGCAGUUGAAGGAUCCGGUAAAGCAGCCUGCCCUUGGUUUUAUACUCCAGAGGAACGUGAUUCGCUGGACUAAAGCAUUGAAGUGCAUCCUGUUUCCGGGGGGCACUGGAACAGAGCCUGGUCUGUUCUAGCCAGUCCCUUUCUAUCUCAGGAUAACAUUCUACAGUUAUUCUUGAGAACUAUAAUCAAAUAAGCAGGGAGAACUGGGAAAGCAGAGGCUCAUUGUGGAACCCUCAAGGAGCAUGGGGUCGUCUUCAUCCCUCAGUUUAUAAAUGGCCAAGGAGAGUAAUGCAACAAAAACUUCUCAGAGUUAAAAGCCAGAGUUCCUAAAGAACCGUGGACAAAGGGUUCUGUCUAGUGGGCAGAAUUCAUCCAGCGAAGGAAAUUUGGAACCCAGGUUUUCCCAACCUACAUCUACAAAAUGGAAUGGGUCUGAUUCGCAAGUUUUCAGAGAAAGAAGCCAACCUUAAUCAGACUGUGAUAUGAUGAGGAAAUAAAACUUGCUGUGCUAAUCAA
rnacentral:lncRNA from 1 species